GGCUUCUUGAUCCUAUGUGUUGUAUUGAGUGUUGGUCACUGGUCUUUGGGAAGCUUGGACAGAAGUGGGGCAGCCAUGGAGCUGCUGACUGGGACUGGCCUGUGGCCCGUGGUCAUAGUCACAGUCAUCUUCAUAUUACUGGUGGACAUGUUGCACCGGUGCCAGCGCUGGACUUCUUGCUGCCCACCAGACCCUGUGCCAUGGCCUGUGCUGGGUAACCUGCUGCAGGUGGACCUGGAUAACAUGCCAUAUAACUUGUACAAGGUGUGGUCCUUGCUCCUUAUGGGCCUGAGUGGAAAGAGCAGAGGUGAUUCUCUGCGUCGACCCUGUGCAACUUCAGCCUGGGCAAGAAAUCACUGGAGCAGUGGGUGAUGGAAGAGGUUGGACACCUCUUUGAUGUCUUCACUGCCCAUGCUGGGAGUCCCCUCAAUCCUUACCCUCUCUUGGACAAAGCCGUGUGCAAUGUGAUUGUGUCUCUCAUUUAUGCCCAUCGCUUCGAGUAUGGAGACCCUGACUUCAUCAAGAUGCUAAAAAGGAGGCUGUAGACAAGAGAUUUGGAAAGAACACAUCUAGAAGUGUCCACCACAGUAAUAGGAGCCUGGAGAUUGACAUACAGCAAAAGGAAGUGAGAAGCUGACCAAGGUCAGGGCUUCUAGAAGCUGAGACCCUGGCCCUCUGCCCACAUGGAACAUCUGUGAGAUUUUCCAGGUUCUGAACACAUUCCCAAUUCUCCUACGCAUCCCAGGGUUGGCUGACAAAGUCUUCCCUGGGCAAAAGACAUUUCUCAUAAUGGUGGAUAAGCUGGUGACUGAGCACAAGAGGACCUGGAACUCGGACCAGCCGCCUCGAGACCUGACUGAUGCCUUUAUGGCUGAGAUGGAGAAGGCAAAGGGAAACCCUGAGAGUAGCUUCAAUGAUGCAAAUCUAUGUCUGGUUGUCCUUGACCUGCUGGGUGCUGCAACUGUGACCACCUCAACCACACUGUCCUGGGCCCUGCUGCUUAUGAUCCUGCAUCCGGAUGUGCAGUGCCAAGUACAACAGGAAAUCGAUGAGGUCAUUUGGUAUGUGUGGCUUCCAGAGAUGGCAGACCAGGUCUGCAUGCCCUUCACCAAUGCUGUCAUUCAUGAGGGCAUGACUCUCAUCUCCAACCUGUUCCGUGCUGAAGGAUGAGACUGUCUGGGAGAAGCCCCUUCGCUUCCAUCCUGAACACUUCCUGGAUGCCCAGGGCCACUUUGUGAAGCCUGAGGCCUUCAUGCCAUUCUCAGCAGGCCACAGAUCAUGCCUGGGGGAGCCCCUGGCCCUCAUGGAGCUCUUCCUCUUCUUCACCUGCCUCCUGCAGCGCUUUAGCUUCUCAAUGCCAGCUGGACAAUCCCUUCCCAGUGAUUAUGGCAUCUAUACAAUGCCAGUUACUCCAGCACCUACCAGCUCUGUGCAGUGGUUUGCUAGCAGGGGCAGUGGCUCCAGCCAUCAUCACAGAUUGUUCUGACUGAUGUCCAAUAAACAAGUUUUGUGUCU
rnacentral:lncRNA from 1 species